UACGUAGGGGGCGAGCGUUGUCCGGAGUUACUGGGCGUAAAGCGCGCGCAGGCGGCCGCGUGAGUCGGUUGUGAAAUGCCCGGGCUUAGCCCGGGUCGGUCGACCGAGACGGCGCGGCUAGAGGGGGUUAGGGGGCCGUGGAAUUCCGGGUGGAGCAGUGAAAUGCGUAGAGACCCGGAGGAACACCGGGAGCGAAGGCGGCGGCCUGGGGCCCCCCUGACGCUGAGGCGCGAAGGCGUGGGGAGCGAACGGG
rnacentral:rRNA from 1 species